GACUUGAGACUGGGCUAAUUAUAUUUUCAUGUAGUUUGCAAGAUUUGCAAAAGAGAUUUUGGGCCUCAUCAUAAACUUUGUAGUUUUAUGUCCUAAACAAUUUUUGGGUUCAUAAUUUUUUUUCCUUCUCUUCUAUCUUACUUCUCUUUAACCAAUUUUUAUGAAAUAUUAUAAAUUAAAACUCUCAAGCCUUAACAUAUUUAAUACAGGGCACGCAUUUUAUGAUUAUUUUUAUUGUAAAUUGUUACACCAAUUCCACUUAUGAAUAUUAUGUGACAAACUAAUUCCUGAAGACUAUAGGGAUAAAAUUUAGUUCAAGAGUUUUUGUAAGAUGACCUUUAUCAAAAGAUGCAGCCAUGCAAGAACUUCCAAAUCUUUGAUGAUGGAGAAGGCCCUUUGAAACUGGGGCUGGUUUCAUAUUCCGAUUAUGACUACUAGCCAACCCUUUCUGUGCUUGUGGUUUAGAGGGGGCAGAAGAAGAGGUAAAAGGGAGAGGUCAGGAGAUGAUUGUGACCCACGUUCAUGUAUCCAAGUUUCAGGAGUUGGUUCCUAUCAUGAUUAGUCAUUUUUGAAGCAUGCAUGUUCAUUUAAACCACACUACUUUCAUUCUGAAUUAUGCAUUUGGGUUUCUAACCUCUAAAAAUGUCUAGAAUUCAGGUUACUGUCUCCUAGUCAUGUGUGCACAUAAGCAACGUCUGCAGGGUCUAGGCCUUACUUCUUUUGUGGCUUUUUGGGCCAUUGCAUUAUGAGACCCUAAAACCAGAAUUAUCACCCUAAGAUCAUAGAAUGAAAGAGGACUUUGGAGAUCAGACUCGAGACCAGUGGUUCAGAGCCCUGGUUGCAUGUUAGAAUCACCUGGGAACCUUUAAAAAACACCAAUACUCAGAGAAUCUGAUUUAAUUGUACUGGUGGGUGGAUUAGUGUUUGUUAUUUGGGGAGGGAGAGAGGUUUGAAGUUUCUCAGGUGAUUCUAAUGUUCAGCCAGGAUGAGGAUUGCUGAUGUAGUUCAACCCCUUAUUUAAUAGGUGAAGAACCUGAUUCUUCAAGUUAAUGACUUUUCUAAGAUCACACAGUUAGUACAGAGGUAAUUAGUAGCCGCAGUUCUAGAGGUCUUUGUUCUUAAUCAGUUUUCUUCUUUAAAUUGAUCUUUUUAAAAGGUCAUUUUCUAAGUAAUGAGUAGCCUUAACAUAGGUAGACGUCGCUUUCCUGAAAACUAUAUUUGCCUCUCAAUUUAAAAACGUCUUGGUUAUUAUUUCAGCAUCAGAAAGACAGAUGAAUAUUGAUGGAGGCCGAGUGAGUGUGUCACAUUUGUAUAGCUGUCCAGUGCCUAUCAGUAAUUGUUUUUGGGAACUAUGAAGUGAUAAAGGUGGCAAAAAAGAUAGCAUUUUAACAGAAAGAGGACAUUCUUGGUUAACUCAGGUUUGUCCAGAUGCCUGCUGAGUCAGGGAGAAAGGUGAUGGCUAUCUCACAGGUUUUCUUACCUCAGGCACUAAAGUAGAAGCGGAUAAUCAGAUGUGGUUAAGGGGGGAAAAGGUUACAUUUCCUUUAAUUCACAUUAAGCUUACUUGCACUGCACCCAUAAUUAAAGUAGUGAGUUCUCUCGGUUCCUCCUGUCUUGGGUAGACCUCGAAGACUCCAGUUUACCUUGUAAGGCCUGUUUACCACUUAUUCUCCUACACACACACACACACACACCUGUAUUUCCCUGGAUCAGGGCACUGAGACAUUAGGCAGCUUUGAGUUUCUGUGGUGGGUCCCACAAUUUCACAAAUUUCGGAUUCUGUGUGACAACUUCUGUUGCUACUGCAGAGCGUAAUUCUUCAGGAGAUGGAGUCUUUCAUAAGAGAAUAUGCAUUCUUAGAGUGUCAUCCCAGGUGAGUGAGGGCUGACCUCACUCAUUAAGCUUGUUUAUGUGCCCACUGUUCUAGCCUUUUAGGUUAAUGCAGGCAGUUCCCUUUCAACAUGCCGAGUGAAGAAAAUUUUAACUGCAACUUUUGUGUUUAAAAUAUAUAUAUUAUAUAUUUAAAAUUUCAAAAUUACAAAGUCAUAAUAAUUGCAUACUGUCUCAUAAUUUUGACCUCAGUCACCUUUGGAGUAACUCACGAAAGGGCCAGUAAUGGUCUUUGGUCACGUGUGAGGAAUCUGUCUUCGGCUGGGCCCAUGUUGCCAAAAUGCUGUUUUGUAAUUUCCUUUGGCAGUCCUGUCAUCGUCAGUGAUUCUCAGCUAAUAUACUUCCUCUUCCUACAGCAGCAGUACACUAGGGGGACCGUUUUCCUCUUUUUCAAAGCUGUGUCAUCGACCUAUGAAGUGAAGAAAUUGGCCCUUUUAGACUUUGAUCUGUGGGCCCCAUGUAGCAGAGAGACUCUUUAAAAAAGAAGCUAAGUGUUUGUUUUGAUAUGUUUAUCUUCUUCUUAGAAAAUGAAAUGAAACUAUGCAGACUUAUUUUUAGGAGCUUUUAAGAGAGCUCUAUUUUAAGAGAAUGACACCAUACAAGAACAUCUUGUAGUUAAACUUUUUAAUACUCUACUUGUGAUUCUUAUUAAAAUCUGCAAGAUAUUUUUAUUUGAAAAAUUAAUGAAGGGGCCUUGUCUCACUAAAAAGUCAUUUACUUGCUCUGGAAAACUUUAGCAGACUCUAUCCAUCCAAAGAUCUUGAUUUAAAACUGCAAAGAUAAGACUGUUUAGGCCUGUGCAUUCUGGCGAGGUAGCCCACUUAGCCAUUGCUGAUGCAUCAGAUUCCAGAUCCCUGGGGCUGGGGAGAGUAUGGAAUUUAUUUUAUUUUCAUACCCACUCAUCUUGCCUGUAGGGAAUAGACUUGAUUCUAUUCUUAACUCCUCAUUUUUCUCCUCACCUUUUCCCAUAUCACAAAUUGAGGGGUCCUGAAUAUCCACUUUGGCUUUUUGCUGCUGUAGAAGGAACUUGGGGUGACAUACAUACAGGCUUAUGUCAUCAUGAGAAAAGGAUAGCUUGGAGGAGUGGCAGUUAAAAACCUAAGGUUUCAGAAAUUCACCUAUGGUCAACUUGACAAGAAUGCAUUUGUCAUACAGAAUGAGACUUGUAUGCAUAGACACAAACUGAGCAUCUCCCUUCCUCCCUCUGGUCAGCACUGCUUCUACUUUAUACUUCCUAGUCUCCUCCUUCCUCCCUGAAAAAGGCAGAGGCUAAGUGGAAGCUUAGAAUAUCAAGACACACUGAGAGUUCUUUGUGGAUAACAUUUAACAGAGGACAUGCCUUUGCCUGAUUGGUAGAACAAGAGUCAGAAGGAGAAAAGGAAAAGAAGUCAUUUCAGAUUUGAUGUGUCUGUACAGUUCUUCCACUCUGUGAUUAAGGAAACUCUGUUGACAACGUCUCCUUCCCAGGAAGCAGCCUUCUGAACAGGCAAGGUCAGAGAGUCGACAAACUUUCUCUGGUGCUUUUACCAGCCUGUCCUACUUUUACCAAGGGCUUAGUGACCAGUCUGCAUGUUUUGAAUGGUUAUAAUGUGUAUUUUGAUCACCUUGAGGACAUGCUAGUUUCACAACUGUAUUAAGGGCUGGCCAUUUGGCCACUGUCGUGUGUGAUUACAUUUUUGUUUCCUGCUGUGACAUGAGGGGUAGGGGUAACAUCCCAUAAAGAUAGCUCAACAGGAACACAUUGAAGGAAGGCAAUGCUAGUUCAACCAGCAAGUGCCCAUGUUCAUUUUUUGUUUUGUUACUUAAAAGAAAAACAAACAAACCUCUGGGAUAUUGAUAUUUAGGAGCAAGGUGUUGUCAUGAGUUCUCAGACUCAUGGAAUUUAGAACUGGGUUUUUUGAUGAUUAACUUAUGUGUUUUGUCUUUCAUAUCCAAAAGGGGAUACUUAGGAUGUAAGAUUUUUUUUUUUUUAAUCACGAAUUAAAAUACUAUAGAACAAUACUAUUUUCUACAUUCUCUUCUUCAGAAAUUUGCUUCACUAACAUUGUGUUUUCUGGUUCUGGUAAGGUUGCAUGUCCUUAAAGUGGGAUUGGAAGAUGCAUUUGUUUCUAACCCUUUUUGUGUUAUUCUGUUCAGAUGCUCAGGGGAUUGUGGAUAAAUUCUCCACAGUGUGCAGUCUCCAAGGCCCAAGGGAGUCCCCAUAUUCUUAUUUUUUCGGUCAUCCUGACACAUAGUAAGAUAUAAACAUCUUUUAGGGGCACACAGGUUAAAUGUUUUGGAUGCUUUACCUCAGAUGCUAAGGAAGAAAUUUAUUCAUUCGUUCCAUAAAUGCUUAAUGGCAUCUACUACAUGUAGGGCACUGAAGUGCGUAUUCUGUAACAGUGGAUUAUCCUAGAAGAAUGAAUCUUGCUCAUCACCAGUUCCUCAGUUCAGCCCAGCAGCAUUUUGAGAGUUGAUGGCACGUCUAACCUUCAAGUCCUGCCAUUUUCCGAGGACCUUGGGAUCAUAGGAUGACAGAGUUGAAAGAUAUGUAGAAAUUCUAGUUCAGUUCCUUUAUUUGAUUCAUCAAGAAUGAUGUAGAACUAUAUUUGCAUACCUAUCAUCUCAAGAUCACCUGAAAUUUCUCUAUUUUGAACCCAAGUAUCUGUUUUAUACCCUGGAUCAUCUUUAAAAUGCUUGAGCAGGGUGAAAUCUCCAUCUCAAGUUCAGCCCCUUGGAAAACAGAUACAUGGAUAAAUGGACACUCCUACUUAAAGAUGAUUGAGAACUGGCUAUCACAGACCUGUUUUCUGGUAUUACAAGUAGUUCUGCCAAAGGGCUUAUUCUAACUGGAAAUUCUCUUUUUUUCCCCCAAGAGGGAAAUGGAACAUGAACUGGACUAGAGAAACAACCUAAACUAAGUGUAAGGAUUCUCAAAGAACUUUUCAGAACUUUUUGGGUAAAAAAACAAACAAACAAACCCCCAAACCCAACCCUUUCCUGAUGCUUCUGCAGUUUCUCUAUCAAAACAAAAUCCAGAGACAAAACACUGUAACAGAAAUCGGGAAACCAAAUAUCCUACCUGCUAGCCAGCUCUAUGGGUUCUGAACGGAGUGUACCAUUUAGGAUCCCUUUUAACAGUCUUUGGGUUUAUUUGAAAACCACUCUGGCUUGUUUAUAAGUGGCAAACAAUUUAAAAGCUCUUUUUGGCUUUGGUACUUUUAUAGGAUUUAGCAUUUCUAGCAGUCAGUUAUUCUAAAAGUUUGAAGAGAAACAUGCUAUUUUCAGAGAGAAAAAAUAAAUAAAAAGCUUAAUUUUUAAUUUUUCUUUACACCUGCCCUCCCAGGGUUAGAAAACUAGCUCUAAAUUCCCUGGACAGAUUUGUUUCGACCUUAAGUUAUGCUCAAGCAGUUAAUGCUCUUCA